GCCGAGCUGAUGCAACAAACCUAAAGAAAGAUAGCUCAUCAACGACAAUAGAAGAGCCCAGGCAUUGUACAUUAUUGUCCAAAAAUAUCAAAUUGUGCACUGGACUUGUGUUUUCCAACAAUAUAAAAAUAAAUAUACCCAGGUUUAGUAAAAGCAUGAAGUUCUGCGAACAGAUGGGAAGGGAUGGAAUACAAUUCUUGUCAACUUGUUCCAAACAUAACAUAAAUCCCUUACCUUGCAAGAAUCUAUGUAAUCUCAGAAAAACCCUAGAAACAACUAUAAAAUUCCCACACACUGUCUUUAAAUAACACAAAUCAACAGCAGAAACAGUUCUUUAAAUGAAAAAUCAUUAACAGUACAAUCUCACACAUCUCUUGUACAUGCUCAGCAAAAUUCAGAAAUGCAAUAUUAUCAUUCAACUUCACAAAAAUAAACCAUGCUUGCACAUAUACCAAGGCCUAAUUUCAGCAUGCAUGCUAACUGCUAAGUCCUAUUUAGUGUACAGGAACCAUGUUUGCUAUGCACUUUUAGUUUGUGUGUGCACACUUUUGGUUUGUGAGUGUGUGUAUAUAUAUAUAUGCACUGAACCCUCCAUUCUAAAGGUUCAAAAGCGCAAUAUGACUAUUCUUCAAUUUCACAAACACACAACAAGUGCACUAUGCACAUGGAGCGCGCGCGCUCGCGCGUGUGUGUCAGUGCACCAAGUAUACACAUGCAAGGGACGUGCAACAGUUUCAUCAUUAUCAUUAUUGAAAACUUGAAAAAAUGACCAACAGAACACAAAUAAACACAGCACACUGUAAAGAGAUUAACAAUUCAGGGCAACAAGGAAUAGAUCAAGCUUUCAACUUUCAAUUUAAAGGAUAAAGAAAAAAAAAAUA
rnacentral:misc_RNA from 1 species